GACGAACGCUGGCGGCGUGCCUAAUACAUGCAAGUCUAACGCAGUGGGGACGGGUGAGUAACACGUGGGUAACCUCCCAUCAGAGGGGAUAACACUUGGAAACAGGUGCUAAACCGAUACUGAUGGAUGGACCCGCGGUGCAUUAGCUAGUUGGUGAGGUAACGGCUCACCAAGGCUACGAUGCAUAGCCGACCUGAUAGGUUGAUCAGCCACCCUGGGACUGAGACACGGCCCAGAAUCCUACGGGAGGCAGCAGUAGUGAAGCUCCGGCAAUGGACGAAAGUCUGACCGAGCAACGCCGCGUGAGUGAAGAAGUUUUUCGGAUCGUAAAACUCUGUUAUUAGGGAAGCGGUACCUAAUCAGAAAGCCACGGCUAACUACGUGCCAGCAGCCGCGGUAAUUC
rnacentral:rRNA from 1 species